rfam:Gymnopus luxurians FD-317 M1 unplaced genomic scaffold GYMLTscaffold_44, whole genome shotgun sequence.
GGGGGUAUAGCUCAGCUGGGAGAGCAGCAGACUGAAGUUGCGAUAGAAAACAUUUGUGUUCUGAAGGUCCCGCGUUCGAUCCGCGGUACCCCCA